AGUGAACGCUGGCGGUAGGCCUAACACAUGCAAGUCGAACGGCAGCACAGUAAGAGCUUGCUCUUACGGGUGGCGAGUGGCGGACGGGUGAGGAAUACAUCGGAAUCUACUUUUUCGUGGGGGAUAACGUAGGGAAACUUAAGCUAAUACCGCAUACGACCUACGGGUGAAAGCAGGGGAUCUUCGGACCUUGCGCGACUGAAUGAGCCGAUGUCGGAUUAGCUAGUUGGCGGGGUAAAGGCCCACCAAGGCGACGAUCCGUAGCCGGUCUGAGAGGAUGAUCGGCCACACUGGAACUGAGACACGGUCCAGACUCCUACGGGAGGCAGCAGUGGGGAAUAUUGGACAAUGGGCGCAAGCCUGAUCCAGCCAUGCCGCGUGGGUGAAGAAGGCCUUCGGGUUGUAAAGCCCUUUUGUUGGGGAAGAAAAGCAGCAGGUUGAUACCCCGCUGUUCUGACGGUACCCGAAGAAUAAGCACCGGCUAACUUCGUG
rnacentral:rRNA from 1 species